rnacentral:rRNA from 1 species
GACAGAGGUGGCAAGCGUUGUUCGGAUUUACUGGGCGUAAAGAGCGCGUAGGCGGUUGCAUAUGUCAGAUGUGAAAUCCCCGAGCUUAACUUGGGAACUGCAUUUGGGACUGCAAGGCUAGAGUACGGCAGAGGGGGGUAGAAUUCCUGGUGUAGCAGUGAAAUGCGUAGAUAUCAGGAGGAAUACCGAUGGCGAAGGCAGCCCCCUGGGUCGAUACUGACGCUCAUGCACGAAAGCGUGGGGAGCAAACAGG